UACGUAGGAGGCAAGCGUUGUCCGGAGUUACUGGGCGUAAAGGCUCGUAGGCGGCCAACUAAGUCGGACGUGAAAUCCCUCGGCUUAACCGGGGAACUGCGUCCGAUACUGGAUGGCUUGAGUUUGGGAGAGGGAUGCGGAAUUCCAGGUGUAGCGGUGAAAUGCGUAGAUAUCUGGAGGAACACCAGCGGUGUAGACGGCUUACUGGACCACGACUGACGCUGAGGCACGAAAGCGUGGGGAGCAAACAGG
rnacentral:rRNA from 1 species